CCUAACCAGCUCGCUGCAAAGAGGCAGAUCUAGCUCAAAAUAAUCAAUCUCAUUAACAAGCUCACCAAGCAGAAGAGAUGUUCGGGGUUGUCUUCCCCGACCGCAGCUUCCCGAUGGAUAUCUCUGCCUUUUCGCAGAUCGACCCGCUCCAUUGGCUUCUCGACAUGAACACCUUCGUUGGCGCAGCCUACUACGAGGUGAGAGAGAUGUGCAUCUUCCUCCUCAACGCCGCCUUGCUGCCUCCGGAGAAGGCCCUCGCCGUCUACGUCCAAGUCCCUGGCCAGCCCUUCCUCUUCUGCGGAGCAGUCCACAACGCCCGCCCCUCUGCCGUUCUCUCCCUCCCUUGGCCUGACCCUGCCGACAUAGCUGACUCUGCGGCGGGAGCCAUCCAGGUCGCCGGCGCAGCGGCCAAGAUCGGAGUAUCUGUUGAGGACCUGGCGUCGCUGCCUCCAGUUGUGGACGCCGGUGCCGAGAAGAGGAUCGAGCGGCUUGCGCUGCGAGUUGGUGAGAAUCUCUUCAAUUUUAUGCAGUCGUUCUGCGGCGUGGAUGGAUCGCGGCUCGUGGUGCCCAUGGAUAUACUGGACCGAUGGUUCAAGAAGUUCCAGGAGAAGGCGAAGCGGGAUCCCACAUACCUCAAGGGCUUUGCCUUGUGACUGGUGGGGAUUGGGGGAAAAGAAUUGUGACAGAAAAAAUUCACGGCACAUAGCGGCUUAUUGCAACCUUUCACCGUCUCCUGCGGUCGCUGCCUUCUGCGGAAAAAUGACAUAAAUCCCCGACAUGCAAAUAUUUGCAACCUUCGGCGCCUUCUGCGACCUCAACUUUCCAGAUGGCUUGCACCAAUCUGUCUCACCUCUUCUGCCUCGAUCCGCUUACCUCCUCCAACCUCUCUCCCUUCAGCCAAUUUCGAUGGCCACAUCAAACUGGAACGAAGUCAUAUAGUCAGCUUCAGAGAGAUGAUCGUCAAUUUCAUCCCAACAGUUGCCGGCGUUUCCCUGGCGGAGGCGCCAGCUUUCGUCAAAGCCCGUGGUGCUGGCAAAUGUUUCC